rnacentral:rRNA from 1 species
GACGUAGGGCGCGAGCGUUGUCCGGAUUUAUUGGGCGUAAAGAGCUCGUAGGCGGUCUGUCGCGUCUGCUGUGAAAACCUAGGGCUUAACUCUGGGCGUGCAGUGGGUACGGGCAGGCUAGAGUGCGGUAGGGGAGACUGGAAUUCCUGGUGUAGCGGUGAAAUGCGCAGAUAUCAGGAGGAACAGCCGGUGGCGAAGGCGGGUCUCUGGGCCGUAACUGACGCUGAGGAGCGAAAGCAUGGGGAGCGAACAGG